GCUUAGCCCUAAACUUAGGUAAUUUAACUAACAAAACUACUCGCCAGAGGACUACUAGCAACAGCUUAAAACUCAAAGGACUUGGCGGUGCUUUAUAUCCAUCUAGAGGAGCCUGUUCUAUAAUCGAUAAACCCCGAUAGACCUCACCGCCCCUUGCUAAUACAGCUUAUAUACCGCCAUCUUCAGCAAACCCUUAAAAGGAAUAACAGUAAGCUUAAGUAUUUUACAUAAAAACGUUAGGUCAAGCUGUAGCUUAUGGGGCGGGAAGAAAUGGGCUACAUUUUCUAUAACUAGAACAUUCACGAAAGUUUCUAUGAAACUAGAAACCAAAGGAGGAUUUAGUAGUAAGUUAAGAAUAGAGCGCUUAACUGAACCAGGCCAUGAAGCACGC
rnacentral:rRNA from 1 species